UACAGAGGUCUCAAGCGUUGUUCGGAUUCAUUGGGCGUAAAGGGUGCGUAGGCGGCGCGGUAAGUCGGGUGUGAAAUCUUGGAGCUUAACUCCGAAACUGCAUUCGAUACUGCCGUGCUUGAGGACUGGAGAGGAGACUGGAAUUUACGGUGUAGCGGUGAAAUGCGUAGAUAUCGUAAGGAAGACCAGUGGCGAAGGCGGGUCCCUGGACAGUUCCUGACGCUGAGGCGCGAAAGCCAGGGGAGCGAACGGG
rnacentral:rRNA from 1 species